UGCAGAAGAAGCGCCGGCUAACUACGUGCCAGCAGCCGCGGUAAUACGUAGGGCGCAAGCGUUGUCCGGAAUUAUUGGGCGUAAAGAGCUCGUAGGCGGCUUGUCACGUCGGUUGUGAAAGCCCGGGGCUUAACCCCGGGUCUGCAGUCGAUACGGGCAGGCUAGAGUUCGGUAGGGGAGAUCGGAAUUCCUGGUGUAGCGGUGAAAUGCGCAGAUAUCAGGAGGAACACCGGUGGCGAAGGCGGAUCUCUGGGCCGAUACUGACGCUGAGGAGCGAAAGCGUGGGGAGCGAACAGGAUUAGAUACCCUGGUAGUCCACGCCGUAAACGGUGGGCACUAGGUGUGGGCAACAUUCCACGUUGUCCGUGCCGCAGCUAACGCAUUAAGUGCCCCGCCUGGGGAGUACGGCCGCAAGGCUAAAACUCAAAG
rnacentral:rRNA from 1 species